UUUCCCUCAGGAUAGCUGGAGCCCAUUACGAGUUCUAUCAGGUAAAGCCAAUGAUUAGAGGCAUUGGGGACGCAACGUCCUCGACCUAUUCUCAAACUUUAAAUAGGUAGGAUGGCUCGGCUGCUUCGGUGAGCCGUGCCACGGAAUCGGGUGCUCCAAGUGGGCCAUUUUUGGUAAGCAGAACUGGCGAUGCGGGAUGAACCG
rnacentral:rRNA from 16 species